UCUUUGCUAGUAUAUCGGUUAGUACACGCGCCUGUCAUACAUUAUCCGCGCGAAAGCUGGGUUCGACUCCCAGGCAGAGAG